UCUGCUCAUCAACUCAGGGAAAUUUCCCCUGUUCUCUCUUUAGCUGGUGUCUGCUCCAUCUCCUCUCUCCUUCUGAGACCUGGCAACGUGUCUGUUAGAGUCUUGGCAUUGACAUACUGGAGAAAAGCAGUCAUACAGGAGUGGCAGGAAGGGAAAUAGGCAGAAGCCAAGGCCCUGACACUGAAGAAAAGAAACACCUCAGAGGACAAGAUGCAGUCAUACUGGACUCCGAUGGCCAUGAAGGGAGAGGGCUGAACAGCAACAGAGAUCCCAGAAGCAGGACUGAAAGCGGCUUCUCCCAAAACACAGCAGCAAGCCCAGGAAGCCACCUCAGAGCCCAAGUCUAUCUUGAGAAACAUCUCAGGCACUGAUGAGGACAUACAUUAUGAAACCAUGGAUGGACCAAAGCAUUCUGUAAACACCCGUAUGUUUUUUAUUGAUUUAUAACUGAAUGAUCUAUUGCUGAACAUGAAUAUUGAUACUCUCACUUGACAUUGCAUGAGCACCCAUCGCUCCCUUUAGGUCUGUCAACAGGUAACAUUUGCUCUAUACGUUUGUACGACUUGGGACCGGGCACAUAGGUACUUACAAGUGUUUAUAGCCUUUUUGCUGAAUUGAGCCCUCUGCCACUACUGAAUGACAUCCUUUGACAAGGUUUUAACCUGACGUCUAUUUUAUCUGAUAGAAGUUUCUCCUGCUCACUUUAGGCCUCUGUUCGCUUGGAGGAUCUUUAUCCCUCUCUUCAUCUUUGAUCUUUGCGCCCCUGUACCAGAGAGCACUUUCGGCCAUCUGAAAUUACUCAUCUCCUAGAGAGGUGCCCUGGAUCACACCCUUUAACAGACCUGAUGCAGAAUACAUGCUCAUGGAGAACCUGUGAAAUGAAUGAAAAAACUCCCCCGAAUACAACUCUUAAAGAGAGAGCUUUACAGCUCCCAGCAUGAUGUAGAUAGAAAUGUGAACUAGCCCGGCAGCUGGCGACACUUCUGUCCUCUUGUUUGAUGGUCUUCCUUACAGUUCUGCAGUUCUGCAGUCCUCACAUUCUCACGGCCCCGAGAGCCUCAGUGCAGUACGUGGUGAUUAGUACUCCUACAAGAAGGUCAAAGCAGGACAUGUUUGGUGACCAAAUACGUGAUGCAAAAUGGGGUAGAUUAUACAUUGUUGACCUUUGGAAGAUGUUCAGUAAAAGUAUAAACCAAAACAAAGAAAACUUAUGUGAAGUGUGUCUUUCAAUUAAAUUUGAACAGAAUUGCUUUCUCAUAUAACAUCUCUCAGCAAGUCUGAGGAGUUAGCCUCCUCAGAUAACACACUUUACAACUGGGUUUUGAAAGCUUGUUUGGAUGUAAGAGAAGAGGCAGAAAAUCAACAUAAGAAGUUUCCUGUUUGGGGGGCUUACUAGCAUUGGUCCACCAGACCAAGUUUACAAUCAAUAUUAAAUAUGGUGGAAAACAGGCAGCACUCGCCUUGAAAGCAGAGUCCCACGUCAGACCACACUUAGGCAGUGGAACACUAAGUCUGGCUAAAAGCACCCUGUAGACAACAGGAUGAUUAAUAAACAAUCCAUACUGUCAAUAAAGUCUCCAGCUUUGUCUUCAUGAAGACAAGAGUCUGUUCUUACCAAAACAGAACUCUGUUAUGCAUGAUGUGUGAGUCCCUCAUUAUUCUUUUUCCAACAUCUGUGUCCAUUUCCACAGAUAGUUACCAACUCUGUAAAGCAUGUCUUGUUGUAUUUUUAGCAAGCAUAUUGAGGUGGUACUGACAGGAAAUAAAUUCCAUGUGUCUGGAGUGUACAAUUUGCCAUUUUAAUGCAGGUCAGCACAUAUGAGGCCAACAGGGUAGUGAGACUGAUGCCAUCUCCAUCCUUGAAACUGCCUCUCUCCCAUGGUUCCUGCUCCAAGCCUGACUCUAGGAAAGCACACAGUCCUUUCUACCCAACUAGUACUUCGUCUUGUAUUUCUUCUGGAUGUGAUGUCUCAUCUGGGUUCUUUCUCACACUGUAAUCUGUGUAAUUCUGAAUCAUUUGUAUAGCAGUGUGGUUCAAUGUUCACAUCUCAAUGUUACUUCAUUGCAUGGUGAAUGAUGUUAUCCCAACUAGCAGUCUGUGAAUAACAGCCUAUCAAAUGCUGGCUUACCACGACCGGGUGCCUGUACUGCUGAUAACUGCCUCAGUACUGGACUCUCCUAUAAUUCUCCAUAUGAACCAAUGGCUGAGGAUCCCCCAACUAGAUCAGGCCCUCUGGAUAAGUGAGACAGUUGAUUAGCUUGAUCUCUUUGGGAGGCAUCCAGGCAGUGGGACUGGGAUCUGUCCUCAGUGCAUGUGCUGGCUGUUUGGAACCUGGGCUUAUGCAGGGACACUUGGCUCACCCUGGGAGGAGGGGACUGGACCUGCCUGGACUGAAUCUACCAAGUUGAACUCAAUCCUCAGGGGAG